rnacentral:rRNA from 1 species
CUCGUAGGUGGCCAACUAAGUCGGACGUGAAAUCCCUCGGCUUAACCGGGGAACUGCGUCCGAUACUGGAUGGCUUGAGUUCGGGAGAGGGAUGCGGAAUUCCAGGUGUAGCGGUGAAAUGCGUAGAUAUCUGGAGGAACACCGGUGGCGAAGGCGGCAUCCUGGACCGACACUGACGCUGAGGAGCGAAAGCCAGGGGAGCAAACGG